GAGUUUGAUCAUGGCUCAGAGUGAACGCUGGCGGUAGGCCUAACACAUGCAAGUCGAACGGCAGCACAGUAAGAGCUUGCUCUUAUGGGUGGCGAGUGGCGGACGGGUGAGGAAUACACCGGAAUCUACUUUUUCGUGGGGAUAACGUAGGGAAACUUACGCUAAUACCGCAUACGACCUACGGGUGAAAGCAGGGAUCUUCGGACCUUGCGCGAUUGAAUGAGCCGAUGUCGGAUUAGCUAGUUGGCGGGGUAAAGGCCCACCAAGGCGACGAUCCGUAGCUGGUCUGAGAGGAUGAUCAGCCACACUGGAACUGAGACACGGUCCAGACUCCUACGGGAGGCAGCAGUGGGGAAUAUUGGACAAUGGGCGCAAGCCUGAUCCAGCCAUACCGCGUGGGUGAAGAAGGCC
rnacentral:rRNA from 1 species